CCACUUUCUCUCAGAUGAUGUGAACAUUGCUCGUUUGCUGGACAACCGAUAUUCUCAGAUAUCGCCAUUCACAAGUAAUAUCAACUCACUGAAUCCAAUAUUUAUUGACGGUCUCAGAAACCAAAACCAGUUUGUUUUAAUGAAUUCCCCUACUGACGAAGAGAUUACAGACUUUUGGCAUUUCGUUUGCCAACAUAACAUAGUCACUAUCGUGCAAUUUGGCAAAGAUGUUUCUGCUGUACGACAAAAGAAAUCUGGCAAACGCGAUGAAAUCGGCGCGCCAAAGAUGUCCAAAUUUAUCGGAAAAUACGUAGCCGAAUCUGUGGCAGUGAAUAAGCAAGAUGUGACAUUAUUGAGAGACAUACUCUUAGAAGAGACGACCAACUCAGGAAAAGUGAAUAAGAG
rnacentral:sRNA from 1 species